GAUGAGCGCUGGCGGCGUGCUUAACACAUGCAAGUCGAACGAUGAAGCCCAGCUUGCUGGGUGGAUUAGUGGCGAACGGGUGAGUAACACGUGAGUAACCUGCCCUUAACUCUGGGAUAAGCCUGGGAAACUGGGUCUAAUACCGGAUAGGAGCGCCUACCGCAUGGUGGGUGUUGGAAAGAUUUAUCGGUUUUGGAUGGACUCGCGGCCUAUCAGCUUGUUGGUGAGGUAAUGGCUCACCAAGGCGACGACGGGUAGCCGGCCUGAGAGGGUGACCGGCCACACUGGGACUGAGACACGGCCCAGACUCCUACGGGAGGCAGCAGUGGGGAAUAUUGCACAAUGGGCGAAAGCCUGAUGCAGCGACGCCGCGUGAGGGAUGACGGCCUUCGGGUUGUAAACCUCUUUCAGUAGGGAAGAAGCGAAAGUGACGGUACCUGCAGAAGAAGCACCGGCUAACUACGUG
rnacentral:rRNA from 1 species